AGUGUAGGCGGCUUCGUAAGUCGGAUGUGAAAGCCCCGGGCUUAACCUGGGAAUGGCAUUCGAUACUGCGCGGGCUAGAGUCUGAUAGAGGGAAGUGGAAUUCCAGGUGUAGCGGUGAAAUGCGUAGAGAUCUGGAGGAACACCAGUGGCGAAGGCGGCUUCCUGGAUCAAGACUGACGCUGAGGCUCGAAAGCGUGGGGAGCAAACA
rnacentral:rRNA from 1 species